GCGGCAUGCCUUACACAUGCAAGUCGAACGGCAGCGGGGGUAGCUUGCUACCUGCCGGCGAGUGGCGAACGGGUGAGUAAUACAUCGGAACGUGCCCUGUAGUGGGGGAUAACUAGUCGAAAGACUAGCUAAUACCGCAUACGACCUGAGGGUGAAAGUGGGGGACCGCAAGGCCUCAUGCUAUAGGAACGGCCGAUGUCUGAUUAGCUAGUUGGUGGGGUAAAGGCCCACCCAGGGCACGAUUAGUAGCUGGUCUGAAAGGACCAUCAACCACACUGGGACUGAGACACGGCCCAAACUCCUACCGGAGGCAACAAUGGGGAAUUUUGGACAAUGGGGGCAACCCUGAUCCAGCAAUGCCGCGUGUUUGAAGAAGGCCUUCGGGUUGUAAAGCACUUUUGUCCCGAAAGAAAUCGCACUGGUUAAUACCUGGUGUGGAUGACGGUACCGGAAGAAUAAGGACCGGCUAACUACGUGCCAGCAGCCGCGGUAAUACGUAGGGUCCAAGCGUUAAUCGGAAUUACUGGGCGUAAAGCGUGCGCAGGCGGUUGUGCAAGACCGAUGUGAAAUCCCCGGGCUUAACCUGGGAAUUGCAUUGGUGACUGCACGGCUAGAGUGUGUCAGAGGGAGGUAGAAUUCCACGUGUAGCAGUGAAAUGCGUAGAGAUGUGGAGGAAUACCGAUGGCGAAGGCAGCCUCCUGGGAUAACACUGACGCUCAUGCACGAAAGCGUGGGGAGCAAACAGGAUUAGAUACCCUGGUAGUCCACGCCCUAAACGAUGUCAACUAGUUGUUGGGGAUUCAUUUCCUUAGUAACGUAGCUAACGCGUGAAGUUGACCGCCUGGGGAGUACGGUCGCAAGAUUAAAACUCAAAGGAAUUGACGGGGACCCGCACAAGCGGUGGAUGAUGUGGAUUAAUUCGAUGCAACGCGAAAAACCUUACCUACCCUUGACAUGCCACUAACGAAGCAGAGAUGCAUUAGGUGCUCGAAAGAGAAAGUGGACACAGGUGCUGCAUGGCUGUCGUCAGCUCGUGUCGUGAGAUGUUGGGUUAAGUCCCGCAACGAGCGCAACCCUUGUCUCUAGUUGCUACGAAAGGGCACUCUAGAGAGACUGCCGGUGACAAACCGGAGGAAGGUGGGGAUGACGUCAAGUCCUCAUGGCCCUUAUGGGUAGGGCUUCACACGUCAUACAAUGGUGCAUACAGAGGGUUGCCAAGCCGCGAGGUGGAGCUAAUCCCAGAAAAUGCAUCGUAGUCCGGAUCGUAGUCUGCAACUCGACUACGUGAAGCUGGAAUCGCUAGUAAUCGCGGAUCAGCAUGCCGCGGUGAAUACGUUCCCGGGUCUUGUACACACCGCCCGUCACACCAUGGGAGUGGGCUUUACCAGAAGUAGUUAGCCUAACCGCAAGGAGGGCGAUUACCACG
rnacentral:rRNA from 1 species